GAUGAACGCUAGCGGCAGGCCUAAUACAUGCAAGUCGAACGGUGUAGCAAUACACAGUGGUGCACGGGUGCGUAACACGUAUGCAACCUACCUUACAUUGGGGGAUAGCCUUUCGAAAGGGAGAUUAAUACCGCAUAAGACGGUAACUAGGCAUCUAGUAGCUGUUAAAGAUUUAUCGAUGUAAGCUGGGCAUGCGUCCAAUUAGUUAGUUGGCGAGGUAAUGGCUCACCAAGACGAUGAUUGGUAGGGGAACUGAGAGGUCAAUCCCCCACACUGGCACUGAGAUACGGGCCAGACUCCUAUGGGAGGCAGCAGUAGGGAAUAUUGGGCAAUGGGCGCAAGCCUGACCCAGCCAUGCCGCGUGCAGGAAGAAGGCGUUAUGCGUUGUAAACUGCUUUUAUACAGGAAGAAACGACCCUUGCGAGGGGCAUUGACGGUACUGUAUGAAUAAGCACCGGCUAACUCCGUGCCAGCCGCCGCCGUAAUAC
rnacentral:rRNA from 1 species